rnacentral:rRNA from 1 species
GACGAACGCUGGCGGCGUGCCUAACACAUGCAAGUCGAGCGGGGAUGUAUGGAGGAAGUUUUCGGAUGGAAUCGAUACAUUCUAGCGGCGGACGGGUGAGUAACGCGUGAGCAACCUGCCUUUCACAGGGGGAUAACGGAUCGAAAGAUUCACUAAUACCGCAUGAGACCACGAUACCGAGUGGUAUAGGGGUCAAAGGAGCAAUCCGGUGAAAGAUGGGCUCGCGUCCGAUUAGGUAGUUGGUGGGGUAAUGGCUCACCAAGCCAAUGAUCGGUAGCCGACCUGAGAGGGUGAUCGGCCACACUGGAACUGAGAGACGGUCCAGACUCCUACGGGAGGCAGCAGUGGGGAAUAUUGGGCAAUGGGGGAAACCCUGACCCAGCAACGCCGCGUGAGGGAAGAAGGUUUUCGGAUUGUAAACCUCUGUCCUUGGUGAAGAGCAGAAGACGGUAGCCAAGGAGGAAGCCCCGGCUAACUACGUGCCAGCCGCCGCCGUAA